AAUUCAUACACAAAAACAGAGAGGAGCAAGCAUUCCAUAUCUCAUAUUUUUCAUCUUCAACAUCAAUUGAAAAGGUUAGUCCACCAUGAUCUUAUUAGCCAAUCAUGUUUAGCUAAACAAAGUUUAUUUAACUGAAUUUUUAUGUAUGGUUUCCUGCUAUGGCUUUCUUUUUUAUGCUUCUUUUCUUCAGAUCCUUUGUAUUCUUGCUCCUUCUUCUUCUUCUUCUUUUUUCUCCUGAUUAGGUUUUAUGUAUAUUUUAUACAUCAGAUCUUGAGAACUUGAACGGAAGGGAGGGAAUUACAAUCAUGGAAAGCGAGAAAGGGAAAGCAAUCAAAUUAUCGGUAUUUCAUGAUACAAUAUUUAUUACAACUAAAGUUGACAAAAUAAAUGGAAUUUGAAGGAACCCUCUGUCGUUGAUUGUGUUAUCUUUCAAAAUUUAUACACUAAAAACUCUAAAUAUCUUUUUGAUACUAUUAGUAAAUUUUAACUUAUGAUAGCAAAUUAUAAGUUACUAAUUAGAUGUCCCUGAUUAUCAUCUUUCUUUUUGGUUCCAAUAUGUU
rnacentral:lncRNA from 1 species